rfam:Myotis brandtii contig152879, whole genome shotgun sequence.
GGCAUUCUUGGGUGACGCACCCUGAAAUUGGGCUGCCUCCUCUCUGGUUCCAGGGUGUCACCCGAACAGCA